rnacentral:rRNA from 1 species
UACGGGGGAGCAAGCGUUGUUCGGAUUUACUGGGCGUAAAGGGCGCGUAGGCGGUCAGCACAAGUCAGUUGUGAAAUCUCCGAGCCUAACUCGGAAACUGCGUCGGAUACUAUUCGGCUAGAGGAAUGGAGGGAGACUGGAAUUCUCGGUGUAGCAGUGAAAUGCGUAGAUAUCGAGAGGAACACCAGUGGCGAAGGCGAGUCUCUGGACAUUUCCUGACGCUGAGGCACGAAAGCCAGGGAGCAAACGGG